UCCAGACUCCUACGGGAGGCAGCAGUGAGGAAUAUUGGUCAAUGGUCGGGAGACUGAACCAGCCAAGCCGCGUGAAGGACGAAGGUGCCAAGCAUUGUAAACUUCUUUUGUCAAGGGACAAAAUCAGGCUCGAGAGCCUGACCGAGGGUACCCGAAGAAAAAGCAUCGGCUAACUCCGUGCCAGCAGCCGCGGUAAUACGGAGGAUGCGAGCGUUAUCCGGAUUUAUUGGGUUUAAAGGGUGCGCAGGCGGAGGUGCAAGUCAGCGGUCAAAUUGCGGGGCUCAACCCCGUACUGCCGUUGAAACUGCAUCCCUUGAGUGCGCGAGAAGUAUGCGGAAUGCGUGGUGUAGCGGUGAAAUGCAUAGAUAUCACGCAGAACUCCGAUUGCGAAGGCAGCAUACCGGCGCGCAACUGACGCUCAUGCACGAAAGCGUGGGUAUCGAACAGGAUUAGAUACCCGCGUAAA
rnacentral:rRNA from 1 species